rnacentral:antisense_RNA from 1 species
AUGCGUGCGCCCGCCAAGAUUCCCUCCGCCGUCUUCCGGACCGGCCUCCUGCAAGUCCUAAUCUCAGCCCAAAUUCAGCGCCGGCUUCCAUCUGGAGCUCUUCGAUGGGUACAAAUGGUAGCCGACUUUCUUCGAUCAUCUCUCGAACGGGAGUUCGCACACAAUACUGAGACCAGAAUAAAGCAGUGCAUUUACUACCUUGUGAAGAAUGUUCAGGUGUUCAGUGGGCUUGAUCCAGUCAGGUGAAGGUCUGAAGAGAAAAAAAGACCGUCCUCUUCCCAGAACAAGAGAAUCCUCCAACAAAUACCUUUGGACUGGACCUGCACCAUCAGCUUUCCUGGGUUUCCAGCCUCCUGCCUCACACUCCAGCUUUUGGACUUGUUAGACUUAAUAAUAACACAAGCCAAUCCUUUUAAGGAAGUUUGUCUGGAGAAUCUUGACAAACACAAACAUCUACUGAGAGUUCCUGUCCAAGUUUUGCUCACACCCUAGCAAGAGGCUUCUGGCUUACCAGUCGAGAGUGUGAGGUUCUUUGCUUGUAAGACCUGAUCCACCAGCUGUACACCAGCUCUGGCCCAGGGCAAGACAGGGAAUUUCCCCAUCACUGAGUAGGCUGUAAAGGAUGAUUUUCCUUUGUCUACUUAUUGUAAGGAAGCGUCCGAGAUUUACCACCACGUCAUGAUUACAGAUGGUCACCAACUUGUUUUAGGAUUUUUUGACUUUAUGAUGGGUUUUAUAGGGAUGCAGCCCCAUUUCAAGCUGAGGAGCUCCUUAGGACUUAGGAAUCAUACCUCUUUCACACCAUGGUAAAGUUGGAAAAUUGUUAAGUCAAGCUGUCAUUAAGUAGGAGACUGCUGUGUUGCUAACGCUAUAUGCAUUUUUAACCCAUGAUGGGUUUAUUGGGAAUUAUCCACAAUGUAAAUUGAGGACCAUCUGUAUAUUGUAUGAUUUUUGCUAAUGCAUUGAGAGAGAUCUGUGUAAAUUAUCUAUGACUUCAGAAUAUGCAUAUUACCUCCAACUGUGUUAACUCAUGUUUUUUAAGAGAAUAAGGGUAUUUUCACCCUAUGUGGAUGUACUGUAGAAUUUUUCUAAGCUACGAAAGUCUAUAAAUAACAAAUCAACUUAAACUUUUUGGGAAAUAAUUUCUACUAAAGAUUCAUAAUCGGCGUAUUCCUUCAAUGACUGUACAAGUUCAUCCAGUAGAUAAUCUCCUCGCAUAAAAGUUUCAAGAUCAUGCAGUGUCUUGUUUAUUCUGUGAUCUGUGACCCGGUUCUGUGGAAAAUUGUAUGUUCUUAUUUUCUCUGAUCUUCCUUUACUUCCAAUCUGUAUAUACAGAAAAAGAUGAGAUGCAGUUAGAUUCAGGGCAAUUUAAACCUACAAAUUUAACUUAUUUGGAGACUUAAGUUCUUGAUUUAUAACAUGAAUCAAAAUGCGAGAACCAGGUUUUAAACACUUAGAAUCUCAAAUGACAUGGGAACAUGAUAUAGAAAAAAGAACAUGUACUCUAAAAUCAGAUUAAUAUCUGAAUCCUGCCUCAGCCACUUCAAUGUUCUAUGACCCCGGGCCAACUUAGUUUCCCGAUCUGCAAAAUACAGUGUCUACUACACAGUGAUGAUGACUAUAGAGUCUGGCACAUAGUUGCUAUUCCUAUAGUCGCGAAUACAUAUAAUCUCUGUGAAUUAAUGCAGUCAUCUUCCGUGGUAACAAGGUGGUGAGUUUCCCAUAUUGAGGAAUUCUUAAAAGGCUCUGUAGUUAUAAAAUUAAAUACCG